CGAUUGGGGUGAAGUCGUAACAAGGUAGCCGUAGGAGAACCUGCGGCUGGAUCACCUCCUUUCUAUGGAGAAA
rnacentral:rRNA from 1 species